UGUUCUCUUAUAAUGCUGUGUUUAUUAUAAUAAUAUUGUUUUACAGUAAUAUCUGUUUUGGCAGGUGGUUAACAUUUAAAAUGAAUGUUCAACCCAGUUAGCUUUGCAGUAUUUUCACAUUACAUAAAAGACAUAAUGCAGUCAAAGUUGUAUGUGUGUAUUUUUCAAAGCAAACAUGGCUGUAAUGAAAAAGUGUAAAUGUUUUGUACAGUGAAUUAUAAUGGCUGGGUUUUAUGGUUAUUGUAAUCUUAUUUAUUUUUUUAGCUAUUUCUGGUCAUGAUAUUAAACAGAUUGCUUUCCCACAUAUUUAAUGAGUACUUUUAUAUUUUAAUUUUGAAGGUUAAACUCUUGCCCCAAGGCAAAAUUUACAUUAAACAGAAGAUCCUAAGGAAUGUGUGCACAUCGGCUGCCAAAAAUGGAGCGAAAGGGAGAUGUUACCUCAUGAUGUAUGGACUUUUAGACAAGGUACCCUGCACAAGUUUGCCAGCUCAAGGGGAACAGGAGUGGGAAAACCGCACCCUGGUGAUGAGCAAAUACCUUUCCUUGGCCGACAAUCUGGAUUUGUUGAGAGAGAUCAUGCAGAAGCAGUACAAGGUCAAAUCUGUGCAAGUGCGAGAGAAGAUCCGCAGCCUACUGAAACCCAGCAAAUUAAAUAAACAGUUUUAAUAAAUGAUGGGAGUUCUAUACUAAAAACAGUACCCUGGUGCUCAUGUGUACAUAUUGUGACAUAAUAUCUUAAAAUAAUUCUGUGUCAAAUCAUGUUUAAAGAAUUUCCAUUGUUUCUUUUGUUUCUUGGCAUAUAGCUCGGUUGUUUUCGGAGAUAACCCGAGGUAUUGUCAUAGCCAGCACAUCAUGUCGUGUCGUCCGCUGUAGGCGUCCUGCUAAAACCUUAACAUUGGCUCUAAAAUCAAAAUGCUUCCAGGUCAAAGGUCAAGGUCACUGUGACCUCUAAAAAAAAUAUAUUCUGACAAGCUUUCAUUUAUUCUCAAAACUGCACCCGCAGCCGAGCGUUGGCACCCGUUAUGCAGUGCUCUUGUUACAAGGUUUGUGACUGUACAUUGCUGGACUUAUUUGUAUUUUUAUGGCUUUGAAUACACUUUUUGAGGGUA